rnacentral:rRNA from 1 species
GACGAACGCUGGCGGCGUGCUUAACACAUGCAAGUCGAACGGAAAGGCCCUGCUUUUGUGGGGUGCUCGAGUGCCGAACGGGUGAGUAACACGUGAGUAACCUGCCCUUGACUUUGGGAUAACUUCAGGAAACUGGGGCUAAUACCGGAUAGGAGCUCCUGCUGCAUGGUGGGGGUUGGAAAGUUUCGGCGGUUGGGGAUGGACUCGCGGCUUAUCAGCUUGUUGGUGGGGUAGUGGCUUACCAAGGCUUUGACGGGUAGCCGGCCUGAGAGGGUGACCGGCCAAAUUGGGAAUGAGAGACCGGCCAGGCCCCUAAGGGGGGGAGGGGGGGGGAAUAUUGGAAAAAGGGGGGAAGGCUGAAGGAGGAACGCCGGGGGGGGGAAGGAGGGCUUGGGGGUGGAAAACGCUUUCGGCUGGGACGAAGGGGGGGGGACGGUAAAGGGUAAAGAAGCAACGGCUAAAUACG